rnacentral:rRNA from 1 species
GACGAACGCUGGCGGCGUGCUUAACACAUGCAAGUCGAACGGUGAAGGGAUCAGCUUGCUGGUUCUGGAUGAGUGGCGAACGGGUGAGUAACACGUGAGUAACCUGCCCCCUUCUUCUGGAUAACCGCAUGAAAGUGUAGCUAAUACGGGAUAUUCUGCGCCUGCUGCAUGGUGGGUGUGGGAAAGAUAUUGUUUCGGUGGGGGAUGGGCUCGCGGCCUAUCAGCUUGUUGGUGGGGUGAUGGCCUACCAAGGCGGUGACGGGUAGCCGGCCUGAGAGGGUGGACGGUCACACUGGGACUGAGACACGGCCCAGACUCCUACGGGAGGCAGCAGUGGGGAAUAUUGCACAAUGGGCGCAAGCCUGAUGCAGCGACGCCGCGUGAGGGAUGGAGGCCUUCGGGUUGUGAACCUCUUUCGCCAGUGAAGCAGGCCUGUCCCUUGUGGGUGGGUUGACGGUAGCUGGAUAAGAAGCGCCGGCUAACUACGUG